rnacentral:rRNA from 1 species
ACGUAGGUGGCAAGCGUUAUCCGGAAUUAUUGGGCGUAAAGCGCGCGUAGGCGGUUUUUUAAGUCUGAUGUGAAAGCCCACGGCUCAACCGUGGAGGGUCAUUGGAAACUGGAAAACUUGAGUGCAGAAGAGGAAAGUGGAAUUCCAUGUGUAGCGGUGAAAUGCGCAGAGAUAUGGAGGAACACCAGUGGCGAAGGCGACUUUCUGGUCUGUAACUGACGCU